ACUGAAGCAUUGAAGCAUUGCACCUUGAUCAUCCUCCUCCUUGAGCUUCAUGUGGUCUGUGGAUUGUAUCUUGAGCAAUUUGAGCUUUCGGGCUAAUAUCCACUUAUCAAUGUUUGAUUUUGGAGGUGGAGAUGAGGAAUUGUGCCCAGUGCAUCGUGCCCUCUGUACUUUCCAAUGGAGUCAGUCAGCAAGAGGCUGACCAAAGCACUGGAGACCCUGGCAUGCUGUGGCUUUGAAAUUUCCCCGCCCCUACCCACCACUGACUGCUCCUCUAUCCUAUCUGAGGUCUAAACGUGGGCAUUUCAGGGCCCUUCUGGGAAACUCAGUGUCUUUGGCCUUCACUGAGGUGCUUCUUCAGACAAGAAACUUGAAGUUCCAACUUAAAAGAUGAUUAAUGCACUGAGACAAGGAAUCUUGACAUACAGCUGCAUUGUGGGAAUGCUUGCCAGGAGAGCCAUUCAUCUUGGAACACCUUCCUGGUGGUUUCAUUUCUUCUGGAAUAUUUCUUCACUGCCUGCC